rnacentral:rRNA from 1 species
CGUGGGAAUGUGCCCUUCUCUACGGAAUAGCCACUGGAAACGGUGAGUAAUACCGUAUACGCCCUCAGGGGGAAAGAUUUAUCGGAGAAGGAUCAGCCCGCGUUAGAUUAGGUAGUUGGUGGGGUAAUGGCCUACCAAGCCUACGAUCUAUAGCUGGUUUUAGAGGAUGAUCAGCCACACUGGGACUGAGACACGGCCCAGACUCCUACGGGAGGCAGCAGUAGGGAAUCUUGGGCAAUGGGGGCAACCCUGAUCCAGCCAUGCCGCGUGAGUGAAGAAGGCCCUAGGGUCGUAAAGCUCUUUCGCCUGUGAUGAUAACGACAGUAGCAGGUAAAGAAACCCCGGCUAACUCCGUGCCAGCAGCCGCGGUAAUACGGAGGGGGUUAGCGUUGUUCGGAAUUACUGGGCGUAAAGCGCGCGUAGGCGGAUUGG